rnacentral:rRNA from 1 species
UACGGAGGGUGCAAGCGUUAAUCGGAAUUACUGGGCGUAAAGCGCACGCAGGCGGUUUGUAAAGUCAGAUGUGAAAUCCCCGGGCUCAACCUGGGAACUGCAUCUGAUACUGGCUAGCUUGAGUCUCGUAGAGGGGGGUAGAAUUCCAGGUGUAGCGGUGAAAUGCGUAGAUAUAUGGAGGAACACCAGUGGCGAAGGCGGCUCUCUGGUCCGUAACUGACGCUGAGGCACGAAAGCGUGGGGAGCAAACAGG